ensembl:misc_RNA Metazoa_SRP Metazoan signal recognition particle RNA
GACAGGUGUAGUGGCAUGCACCUGUAGUCCCAGCUACUCAGGAGACUGAGGUGGGAGGAUUGCUUGAGCCCAGGUGUUCAAGGCUGCAGUGAGCCGAGAUUGCACCACUGCACCCUAGCCUGGGUGACAGAGCAAGACCCUGUCUCUA